AACGAACGCUGGCGGCAGGCCUAACACAUGCAAGUCGAGCGAGGACUUCGGUCCUAGCGGCGGACGGGUGAGUAACGCGUGGGAACGUGCCCUUUGCUUCGGAAUAGCCCUGGGAAACUGGGAGUAAUACCGGAUGAGCCCUUUGGGGGAAAGAUUUAUCGGCGAAGGAUCGGCCCGCGUUGGAUUAGGUAGUUGGUGGGGUAAUGGCCUACCAAGCCGACGAUCCAUAGCUGGUUUGAGAGGAUGAUCAGCCACACUGGGACUGAGACACGGCCCAGACUCCGACGGGAGGCAGCAGUGGGGAAUCUUAGACAAUGGGGGAAACCCUGAUCUAGCCAUGCGGCGUGAGCGAUGAAGGCCUUAGGGUUGUAAAGCUCUUUCAGCUGGGAAGAUAAUGACGGUACCAGCAGAAGAAGCCCCGGCUAACUCCGUG
rnacentral:rRNA from 1 species